GAUGAAGAACGUAGUGAAAUGCGAUAAGUAAUGUGAAUUGCAGAAUUCAGUGAAUCAUCGAAUCUUUGAACGCACCUUGCGCCCCUUGGUUAUUCCAAAGGGCAUGCCUGUUUGAGUAUCAUGAACACCUCAACUCUUGUGGUUUCCCACAAUGAGCUUGGACUGUGGAGGUUUUGUUGGCCCUGUGGUCAGCUCCUCUCAAAUGGAUCAGCUUACCGGUGUUUGGUGGCAUUACGGGUGUGAUAACUAUCUACGCUCGUGGUCGUCUCCAAAUAACCUCCAGUGAUGGAGGUUCGCUGGAGCUUAUAAAUGUCUCUCCCCAGUGAAGACAGCCUUUGAACGUUCGAUCUCAAAUCAGGUAGGACUACCCGCUGAACUUAAGCAUAUCAAUAAGCGGAGA
rnacentral:misc_RNA from 1 species